GACGAACGCUGGCGGCGUGCUUAACACAUGCAAGUCGAACGAAGAGCGAUGGAAGCUUGCUUCUCUCAAUCUUAGUGGCGAACGGGUGAGUAACGCGUAAUCAACCUGCCCUUCAGAGGGGGACAACAGUUGGAAACGACUGCUAAUACCGCAUACGAUCUAAACUCGGCAUCGAGGAUAGAUGAAAGGUGGCCUCUACAUGUAAGCUAUCACUGAAGGAGGGGAUUGCGUCUGAUUAGCUAGUUGGAGGGGUAACGGCCCACCAAGGCGAUGAUCAGUAGCCGGUCUGAGAGGAUGAACGGCCACAUUGGGACUGAGACACGGCCCAGACUCCUACGGGAGGCAGCAGUGGGGAAUCUUCCGCAAUGGGCGAAAGUCUGACGGAGCAACGCCGCGUGAGUGAUGACGGCCUUCGGGUUGUAAAGCUCUGUUAAUCGGGACGAAAGGCCUUCUUGCGAAUAGUGAGAAGGAUUGACGGUACCGGAAGAGAAAGCCACGGCUAACUACGUG
rnacentral:rRNA from 1 species